rnacentral:ncRNA from 1 species
CCAAAGGCCGUGAACGGGAAUAGUAAAUCCUCCUGCCAGACCACAGAGAGCCGGGAAAGCUGAAAACCGGUGCCUGAGCGGGGCUUGAAUGGGCCCGGGAGCCGCCGCCCUAAAGUUUAUGACGAGUAGGCGCGGCCGCUUGGGAAGCGUUAUCAUCCCAGGGUAUCAUCCCGAGUUCCGGGACGUACCCCCCAACGAGAUGAUCUUAAGUCUUGGUGACUUCAGAUUAAUAAGGGUGGCACCGCAGAGCCCUCUGCCCCUUGA